rnacentral:rRNA from 1 species
GAUGAACGCUGGCUACAGGCUUAACACAUGCAAGUCGAGGGGAAACGGCAUUGAGUGCUUGCACUGAAUGGACGUCGACCGGCGCACGGGUGAGUAACGCGUAUCCAACCUUCCCGUUACUGCGGGAUAACCUGCCGAAAGGCAGACUAAUACCGCAUGUUCUUCGAUGACGGCAUCAGAUUCGAAGCAAAGAUCCGUCGGUAACGGAGGGGGAUGCGUCUGAUUAGCUGGUUGGCGGGGCGACGGCCCACCAAGGCGACGAUCAGUAGGGGUUCUGAGAGGAAGGUCCCCCACAUUGGAACUGAGACACGGUCCAAACUCCUACGGGAGGCAGCAGUGAGGAAUAUUGGUCAAUGGGCGGAAGCCUGAACCAGCCAAGUAGCGUGCAGGAGGACGCGGUGUAAACUGCUUUUAUGCGGGGAUAAAGUGAGGGACGCGUCCCUUUUUGCAGGUAACCGCAUGAAUAAGGACCGGCU